AAGACUAUAGACCUGCGGAGUACCUGCGGAAGGAUCAUUAUCGUAUUGUAACAAUUGGGGGGGCCACCGUGGGCUGUCGCUGACCCUUUGAAAGGGGGGUCGUGCACGCCCCCAUAGUGUCAUCCUCAUACAAUCCAACACACCUCUGUGCAUCACCGCGUGGGUUCCUUUCUGGGUCGAGUCAGACUGGCUCAGAAAAAAGGGGCUUGCGUUUUCCAUACAAAUACCCUUAUAAAUCCA
rnacentral:misc_RNA from 1 species